rnacentral:misc_RNA from 1 species
UUGUGGAGGAGGACGCCGAAGGUGGGGCUAAUGACUGGGGUGAAGUCGUAACAAGGUAGCCGUACCGGAAGGUGCGGCUGGAUCACCUCCUAACAGGGAGACAACAAAAUGUUUAAUAUUAUUAUUUUGUCACCUUAGGUCGAUCGGUAUCUCACGUUUUUAAUUUAUUAAGAAUUUCAUUUCCUAAGUUUUUCUAGGUCACACCCAUUUUUUUUUCCUGGGCCAUUAGCUCAGGUGGUUAGAGCGCACCCCUGAUAAGGGUGAGGUCCCUGGUUCAAGUCCAGGAUGGCCCAUAUCUCUAUGUUGGGGGUAUAGCUCAGUUGGUAGAGCGCCUGCUUUGCAAGCAGGAUGUCAGCGGUUCGAGUCCGCUUACCUCCACUGAUUACCACCUCUUCCAUAAUCUGUAGAAAGGAAAAAUUUUGAGUUGUGAUCCUUUUUCUGAACGAAUCUAGCUUCCUAAUGAAACCAUUAAGAUGCUGGACUCAUUGAAUUAAUUUCAUUGUUUUCAGAGAACCUUGACAACUGCAUAGAUUAUUUUUAAAGACAAUAAGCAUCUUUAAUGAUGCAGAUUUAUUAUUUGUGCAAAUGCAUUAAUAACAAUUCUAUUAAGCUGAUGCUUCAAUUUUGAAGUUAUUGGUCAAGCUACAA